UUGUUACACACACUGAAGCUU
rnacentral:snRNA from 1 species